UCCUUUUUUUUUUUAGUUCUUGAGUUGUAAAAUUACAUUAAGAGCCCCUUUCUUGAUAUAGGCAUUUAUUGCUGUGAACUUCUCUUAGACCUGCUGUUGCUGUGUCCCUGAAAUUUUGGCAUAUUGUAUUUCUAUUUGUCCCACGGUAUUUUUAAAUUUCUUCUUUGACCUACUGGCUUUUUAGUAGCAUGUUAUUUAGUUUCCACGUAUGUGCAAAUUUUCCAGUUUGCUUCAUAUAAUUUUCUAGUUUCAUACCAUUGUGGUCAAAAAAGAUACUUGGUAUUUUAAUUUUCUGAAAUUUAUUGAUUUAUUAAAACUCUUUUUGAUCUAUCCUGGAGAAUUUGUGUGCCUUAGAAGAAUGUAUAUUCUGUACAUGUCUAUUAAGGCCAAAGUCCCCUACUACUAUUGUAUUACUGUUUCUCCCUUUAGGUCUGUUAACAUUUCCUUUAUAUUUUUAGUGCGUCUAUGAUAUUUAUGGAUGUUCUAUCUUCUUGGACUGACACCAUCACAAUGUCACGCCCCCUUUCUUUGAUAACAAUGAAUACCAUGUUGUGGGAGGGGAGUUAGGACACUUUUAAUUUAGUUACUGAACUUUACGAAUAGCACUGAGAACACUUUUAAAAUUAUGAACGUUAAUUGGAGAAUAGUCAAGUCAGGAAGAGCAAUUCCUGGGUGUUCACGGCUAGUGUGAUAUCUUGGCCCAAUCACUGCUUUUAAAGGAUUUUUUUCUAAAAUUCCGUAAACGACUAUUUUACAAAAACCUUUGUUUUUCUUAUCUUCUUCAAGAAAUGCAGAAGCAUCACUGCUGUUUGUGCUGCCCCCAACUGCAGGGAAUGCCUGGCAGUAAGAAAUGAAAUGUGUUCCAGUUACGACAUGUCUGUGGCUAGACAUGGAUGUUUUCAGGUCAGCUUUUUAAAAAACUGAGUUAAGGUAAUAAAAAUUUUAUGAUCUUCAUUAAGACUCCAUUGGUGUGUCUGAGCUCCUGCUUCCAAAAGGGCCACUGAUAGAUGAACUUCUUGUAUUGCCGAGAACAAGCCUCUCUCGUCUUCCAAAUGCUUCAUUUACUAAAACACAAAUAAUGGUUAAAUUACCAGAUCAGAAGAUUAAGAACCUAGAAUAUACAAUAGAGAUGUAGAGAUGAACAGUAUGAUUCUCUGCCCUAGUGUGGAAAUUAAAUGGGAAACAAAAUAACCAGGAAGUCCAAGUUAACAUUCUGAAUGAGGUUAAUCAUAUUUUAUUCUGUAUCUGUAUCUACAUUUAUUCCGUAUUUUGCCUUGUCCUUGAUUUAUUUAAUCCACCUUCAUAAAGUGACAAUUUUUUCAUCUUUCUCUGUAUCAUAACCAGCAGAGAACUUUUUAUGGAUUUAGGGCCUUUUCUCUACGUGGAAGAUUCAGGAAUCAGUGGAACUACGUCUUCUCUGUUCAUAGGACAAACCGGACUAACUACAGGUUACAACAGACUGUGCUUCAGGAUGGGCACUGGACCUACACUCGGGCCACAUGUUGUGUGUGAGCCGCACAGCACUCACUCAGAAAGAGGGAAUCAAGAUUCUCACCUGAGGAGACUGUGCUUAUAUCCCAGACUCGAAGCCCUUCUUUCUGACCUCCAAAGGCAUAAAUAAAUGGCAAAUCGGGACAACAGGAAGAACAGAAGAGAACUCCCUGGAAGAAGAAAACAGCUGCAUGUGAGGACAGAGCUCUGGUCAUGGCAUGGACUACAGACAGAGAUGUGGGAGCAGAGGUGAGAUCCGAGAGAACACAGGCCUGGAGAGCACAGUCAUUUAAGUACCAAUGACACCUUGUCAGCAAAUAACCUCAGGAAAUGGGUUCUGGAGUGUCGAAAGUCAAAGUCUAACACAACAUUCAAACGCAACUGGGACCUCACUCGUCGAAGUAAAAGGAGUCUGGCUUCAGGUAACUCAGCUGGGAGUGACACCGCCCCCCGAGCAUAGCUGAGAUGAAGUGUUCCUGGGCCCACUGUUUCAGGAACCUUGCUGAAACUGUCCACAUACUUAAGAAAGCAGUUUUUCUCUCAUUUAUAAAGCAUUAGAUAUGUACUUUAUGAAAAUUAGGAAAUACAUGGAUGUGUCACACUUUGGAUGAAAGCUGGGAUUUUGUUUGGAUUGAAAUGUCUGUGGAAUCUUUGGAUACUACACAGAAAAUUUAUCCUACACAUAUUAAGUGGGGAAAAAAGUGUAAGUUCUAUAAAUACCCUUAAGAGACUAAUAUAUUAAUUCAGUAAGUAUUCUCAACACAGGAGCCCCAUUUAAUUUAAAUAAAAGAAUAUCCUCUUGGACGAAUUAACCAUGCUUAAUGUUUCAAAAAACACAAUAAAAUCAUUUACAUCCUUA